GAAGCUGCGGCAGCGAACGUAUCACUUAAAGCGAUUCAGCGGGUUACGAUUGACGGAGCGAAGCGACGUCAAAGCGUAUACAAAGUCGAGUCGGUUUAAGGAUACGUUCGUUGGGUAGGGGAGCGUUCUGUAAGCCUGCGAAGGUGGCCUGUGAGGGUUGCUGGAGGUAUCAGAAGUGCGAAUGCUGACAUAAGUAACGAUAAAGCGGGUGAAAAGCCCGCUCGCCGGAAGACCAAGGGUUCCUGUCCAACGUUAAUCGGGGCAGGGUGAGUCGACCCCUAAGGCGAGGCCGAAAGGCGUAGUCGAUGGGAAACGGGUUAAUAUUCCCGUACUUGGUGUUACUGCGAAGGGGGGACGGAGAAGGCUAUGUUGGCCGGGCGACGGUUGUCCCGGUUUAAGCGUGUAGGUGUGUGUUCCAGGUAAAUCCGGUUCACUUUAACACUGAGGCGUGACGACGAGGCACUACGGUGCUGAAGCAACAAAUGCCCUGCUUCCAGGAAAAGCCUCUAAGCAUCAGGUAACAUCAAAUCGUACCCCAAACCGACACAGGUGGUCAGGUAGAGAAUACCAAGGCGCUUGAGAGAACUCGGGUGAAGGAACUAGGCAAAAUGGUGCCGUAACUUCGGGAGAAGGCACGCUGACACGUAGGUGAAGUGAUUUACUCACGGAGCUGAAGUCAGUCGAAGAUACCAGCUGGCUGCAACUGUUUAUUAAAAACACAGCACUGUGCAAACACGAAAGUGGACGUAUACGGUGUGACGCCUGCCCGGUGCCGGAAGGUUAAUUGAUGGGGUCAGCGCAAGCGAAGCUCCUGAUCGAAGCCCCGGUAAACGGCGGCCGUAACUAUAACGGUCCUAAGGUAGCGAAAUUCCUUGUCGGGUAAGUUCCGACCUGCACGAAUGGCGUAAUGAUGGCCAGGCUGUCUCCACCCGAGACUCAGUGAAAUUGAACUCGCUGUGAAGAUGCAGUGUACCCGCGGCAAGACGGAAAGACCCCGUGAACCUUUACUAUAGCUUGACACUGAACAUUGAGCCUUGAUGUGUAGGAUAGGUGGGAGGCUUUGAAGUGUGGACGCCAGUCUGCAUGGAGCCGACCUUGAAAUACCACCCUUUAAUGUUUGAUGUUCUAACGUGGACCCGUGAUCCGGGUUGCGGACAGUGUCUGGUGGGUAGUUUGACUGGGGCGGUCUCCUCCUAAAGAGUAACGGAGGAGCACGAAGGUUGGCUAAUCCUGGUCGGACAUCAGGAGGUUAGUGCAAUGGCAUAAGCCAGCUUGACUGCGAGCGUGACGGCGCGAGCAGGUGCGAAAGCAGGUCAUAGUGAUCCGGUGGUUCUGAAUGGAAGGGCCAUCGCUCAACGGAUAAAAGGUACUCCGGGGAUAACAGGCUGAUACCGCCCAAGAGUUCAUAUCGACGGCGGUGUUUGGCACCUCGAUGUCGGCUCAUCACAUCCUGGGGCUGAAGUAGGUCCCAAGGGUAUGGCUGUUCGCCAUUUAAAGUGGUACGCGAGCUGGGUUUAGAACGUCGUGAGACAGUUCGGUCCCUAUCUGCCGUGGGCGCUGGAGAACUGAGGGGGGCUGCUCCUAGUACGAGAGGACCGGAGUGGACGCAUCACUGGUGUUCGGGUUGUCAUGCCAAUGGCACUGCCCGGUAGCUAAAUGCGGAAGAGAUAAGUGCUGAAAGCAUCUAAGCACGAAACUUGCCCCGA
rnacentral:rRNA from 1 species